rnacentral:rRNA from 1 species
GACGAACGCUGGCGGCGUGCUUAACACAUGCAAGUCGGACGGAAAGGCCCUGCUUUUGUGGGGUGCUCGAGUGGCGAACGGGUGAGUAACACGUGAGUAACCUGCCCUUGACUUUGGGAUAACUUCAGGAAACUGGGGCUAAUACCGGAUAGGAGCUCCUGCUGCAUGGUGGGGGUUGGAAAGUUUCGGCGGUUGGGGAUGGACUCGCGGCUUAUCAGCUUGUUGGUGGGGUAGUGGCUUACCAAGGCUUUGACGGGUAGCCGGCCUGAGAGGGUGACCGGCCACAUUGGGACUGAGAUACGGCCCAGACUCCUACGGGAGGCAGCAGUGGGGAAUAUUGCACAAUGGGCGGAAGCCUGAUGCAGCAACGCCGCGUGCGGGAUGACGGCCUUCGGGUUGUAAACCGCUUUCGCCUGUGACGAAGCGUGAGUGACGGUAAUGGGUAAAGAAGCACCGGCUAGCUACGUG